rnacentral:rRNA from 1 species
UAGGGAAUCUUCCGCAAUGGGCGAAAGCCUGACGGAGCAACGCCGCGUGAGUGAUGAAGGUCUUCGGAUCGUAAAACUCUGUUAUUAGGGAAGAACAAAAGUGUAAGUAACUAUGCACGUCUUGACGGUACCUAAUCAGAAAGCCACGGCUAACUACGUGCCAGCAGCCGCGGUAAUCCGUAGGUGGCAAGCGUUAUCCGGAAUUAUUGGGCGUAAAGCGCGCGUAGGCGGUUUUUUAAGUCUGAUGUGAAAGCCCACGGCUCAACCGUGGAGUGUCAUUGGAAACUGGAAAACUUGAGUGCAGAAGAGGAAAGGGGAAUUCCAUGUGUAGCGGUGAAAUGCGCAGAGAUAUGGAGGAACACCAGUGGCGAAGGCGACUUUCUGGUCUGUAACUGACGCUGAUGUGCGAAAGCGUGGGGAUCAAACAGG